rnacentral:rRNA from 1 species
AGCGAACGCUGGCGGCAGGCCUAACACAUGCAAGUCGAACGAAGUCUUCGGACUUAGUGGCGGACGGGUGAGUAACACGUGGGAACGUGCCUUUAGGUUCGGAAUAACUCAGGGAAACUUGUGCUAAUACCGAAUGUGCCCUUCGGGGGAAAGAUUUAUCGCCUUUAGAGCGGCCCGCGUCUGAUUAGCUAGUUGGUGAGGUAAAGGCUCACCAAGGCGACGAUCAGUAGCUGGUCUGAGAGGAUGAUCAGCCACAUUGGGACUGAGAUACGGCCAAAACUCCUACGGGAGGCAGCAGUGGGGAAUCUUGCGCAAUGGGCGAAAGCCUGACGCAGCCAUGCCGCGUGAAUGAUGAAGGUCUUAGGAUUGUAAAAUUCUUUCACCGGGGACGAUAAUGACGGUACCCGGAGAAGAAGCCCCGGCUAACUACGUGCCAGCCGCCGCAGUAACAC